rnacentral:rRNA from 1 species
UACGGGGGGGGGCAAGCGUUGUUCGGAAUUACUGGGCGUAAAGGGCGCGUAGGCGGCCUGCUAAGUCGGACGUGAAAUCCCCCGGCUCAACCGGGGAACUGCGUCCGAUACUGGUGGGCUCGAAUCCGGGAGAGGGAUGUGGAAUUCCAGGUGUAGCGGUGAAAUGCGCAGAUAUCAGGAGGAACACCGGUGGCGAAGGCGGGUCUCUGGGCCGAUACUGACGCUGAGGAGCGAAAGCGUGGGGAGCGAACAGG